CUACGGCGGAUCCGAGCGUUAUCCGGAUUUAUUGGGUUUAAAGGGAGCGUAGGUGGACAGUUAAGUCAGUUGUGAACGUUUGCGGCUCAACCGUAAAAUUGCAGUUGAUACUGGCUGUCUUGAGUACAGUAGAGGUGGGAGGACUUCGUGGUGUAGCGGUGAAAUGCUUAGAUAUCACGAAGAACUCCGAUUGCGAAGGCAGCUCACUGGACUGCAACUGACACUGAUGCUCGAAAGUGUGGGUAUCAAACAGGAUUAGAUACACUGGUAGUCCACACAGUAAACGAUGAAUACUCGCUGUUUGCGAUAUACAGUAAGCGGCCAAGCGAAAGCAUUAAGUAUUCCACCUGGGGAGUACGCCGGCAACGGUGAAACUCAAAGGAAUUGACGGGG
rnacentral:rRNA from 1 species